rnacentral:misc_RNA from 1 species
UUUAGACUUAGGGGGCGAGAGCUCCACGAUCGUAUUAAAUCCAUUAUUUUGUUUCAAAAAUAUUGAUUCAAAGGAUCAGUUUAAGCAAAAAACCUUGACGUGUGCGAAUUAGGUGCAUUUGGAAAGGAUAGAAGUUGAGUGAACUUCUUGCAUAAGUUAUUUUUUUUUCUAACCAUACACCAGGUUGUUUAAGCCUCGUGCUCCGAAUCCCGUGGAGUCAUUGAUGCUAAAAGCCGAGCCGGGAUACAGUGUAUUCAUAGUUUACAUGGAUGCGGGCCAGCGAUUGUAGCUCUAUAAAUGAAUAACCGAUUUUGCGGAAGAUAGAGGGAAGAGAAAAAAAAAUCAGCAAUUAUCGAACCUCCUGUCGCAAAUCAUCUAGCGGCUUCAUUUUAAUUAUUCAAUUUUUUUUUUCGUAGAGUGGGAGAGUAUAUAUAAAAGAAAGCGACUGUGUUUACAAGCAAUGUGUAGUAAACUUUUACCAAGAGAUCGUGCGUGACUAUAUAUACUACCUGGAAUAAUUCUGAUGAUUGUGUCUUAACUUUGUGGAUUUUAUCAUUUUAAUAAAGACUCUUAAUUGCCAAAGGACCAAUUCCUAAUGAAGACCACUAUGACGUCAUCACUUAGAGUAGUGGUCCUAGGGGCAGAAAAGACGGGUAAAUCAGCUGUCACUGUGAGAUUUUUAACCAAAAGAUUUAUUGGAGAAUACAACUCAAAUAUAGGUGAGAACAAUCGUGUUUUGUCAAAUUAUCGUGUGCGUUUUUAAUUUCAAAUGUGCACUUUUGUUUUUUGAAAUCCUAUAACUUAUGCACUUUUAAUCUCUUUUCACAGAUCUUUUGUACAAGUCGUGCAUAAAGCAAGAAGACUAUCUGACAGACAUCGAAAUUCUAGACACCUGUAGCAAAAAGAGUAAUGGAACUUCGCCAUCAGCAGAAACACAGAUGAACUGGGCCGACGCGUUUGUGAUAGUUUACAGUAUUUGUGAUACGUGUUCAUUCGAAAGGGCGAAAUCUCUACUGGACACUAUCGGCAAAGUGCGUUCAAACUCUUACAUUCCCGUCCUUCUAUUGGGCAACAAAACGGACCUCGAACACAGAAGAACUGUUGGCGUCGAGGAAGGCCACCAGGUGGCGCUAGAGUAUAACUGUCAGUAUUAUGAAGUUUCCGCCGCGGAAAAUUACGUCACGAUCAACAUUGCAUUCCAGGCUUUGCUCAGAGACGCUAAAAUGAACCAGCAACAGAAAUCGAUGCUUAAGCGCAGGAGAACUUCUUUAGUAAAUGUUUCCAAGAAACUAGGUGCCAUGUUCAGUGGGAAAAAAGACUGUGCCGAGUUCGAUAAACGACGGACGUCAAUGGAUGUCAAUUCGCCGCUCAAACUCACGUGAACAAGUGCUCACGCGAAAAUGCGCGUGAGACACGAACACGAACACGUUAAAUCUAAAGAAGAGGUUUGCAAGAGAAAUGAAAAACAAUCCAGCAUUAUCUGUGAACUGUCUGAAUCUUCAAAGAAUCAGAUUAUCAGAAAGGUGCUGUGAGAAUUGCAUUGUUAAGCAAAUUGUUAAUCGGGCGUGUUGCAAGAAAUUAAGAAAUUAGAAUAUAGUUGUCAGACUGUGCGUUUUAAUACACAAGUCUUUGAACAGAAGACAGAGUUCCGGUAUGUGCCCCCUUAAUUUGAGAACGACGGCAUUUCCCUGUGAUGUUUUUAACGAGAUAAAUGAUCAAAUCAUUGCUCACUAAGAUGCCACUCUAUUAAAUCUGAAGACAGAGUUUAUAUUAUACCCAAGCAUCGAAUGCUUCUUGGUUUUGUUACAAUUGUUUCUUUAUUCAUGUUAUUUCGAUUAUCUUUGUAUAUCCAUUUCAAUAAACAUGAAAUGUG